UGCUCUAUGAUCGAAUGCCUUUUUGGGCAAUAUACGCUAUUCCGAUAAUUAUUAUCAUGAAUGGAAAAAUAAUGGUAUUUAUGAGAGCU